rnacentral:piRNA from 1 species
UCCAAAGGUCCCGAGUUCAAAUCCCAGCAAU